UGUUCUCUUCUCUUCUUUCAUGCAUUAACACCUAGGAUGAUGCAGAAUUUUGUAUCUUAUCAGUGUUAUGUCAUCACAUGUAUGAUCAACCUGGAAACUUCAGUGUAUUUAAAUGACUGCUCAGCUAGUUAUUUGGCCAUUCGACAUGCUUUUUGUGUAUGGAGCUCCAAGCUUCUUGUCCUGAUGGAGCAGUGAAAGACAAGGGGCGAUCACUGCAGAAAGCCACAUGAGCUGUUGACAGAUAGAGUGUUCCAGCCACUGGGCCGGUAGACGUGGAAAGGUUCACCUUCCCCCAUGCAGCUUCCGAUAUAGAUGGCCCAGUUUUAACUGCAAUUUAGAUGAGAUACAUAUUAACCACACAACCUUUUUCAU